AUUUAUUUGAAGUAACAUUGGCAAACAAUCAUUGAAGCUUUCGUCCCAAUAAUUUUCAGGUGUUUCCGUAGAGUAUCUGUAUGCCAAACAUAAUCAAAAUCUGAUAAAGUAUUUCAAUGAGACUGCCUGCUUGUCUGGAAUGCCAGCACUUCACCUCGCAGCUCAGUCAUAUGCAUUUAUUUGUCUAUCUGGUUGUUGAAAAAAGCAUUUCGAUACGUCUAAGCAGAAUGCAUAAACAAACCAAAAAUCUAUUUGCAAUUUGGCCAAGUCAGCUGGAAAGGACAAAAACAGAGCCAGUUUCCUUGUGGCUGCUCAUAUUGUUCCAGCAUCGAGCUUCGUAAUGAAGAAGAGGAACAAUAGAUCGAGAUUGACACAGAUGGGGUUCGAAAUAAAAGAACAAAAUUUGCAGGCAGCCACGUCUAAUGAACAUACGAGUGCCGGACUCAUUCAAUACCAUUUCCACAAAUGGAAAUUCCAGAUUUUUUGAUACCAAUAGAUACAUACAUGCAUACAUACAUUCCCCCCACCUGAAUACAACGAAUAAAGCCAAAAACGUGCUGCAAACACAGAUAUGAGAGCUGUGCAAUCAUUAUAAAUUGAAAAUGUAAACUUUGUCGCGAAGUAUGCCAUAAAAAUCCGGCGACAAAAAAAAAGAGAGAUAGUAAUACCCAUCGACUGGAUAUGUGAAUAUAUAUAUGAAU
ensembl:ncRNA lncRNA:CR44491 long non-coding RNA:CR44491